rnacentral:rRNA from 1 species
AUCCAGACUCCUACGGGAGGCAGCAGUGGGGAAUAUUGCACAAUGGGGGAAACCCUGAUGCAGCGACGCCGCGUGAGCGAUGAAGUAUUUCGGUAUGUAAAGCUCUAUCAGCAGGGAAGAAGAUGACGGUACCUGACUAAGAAGCCCUGGCUAACUACGUGCCAGCAGCCGCGGUAAUACGUAGGGGGCAAGCGUUAUCCGGAUUUACUGGGUGUAAAGGGAGCGUAGACGGCGAUGCAAGCCAGAUGUGAAAGCCCGGGGCUCAACCCCGGGACUGCAUUUGGAACUGUGUGGCUGGAGUGUCGGAGGGGCAGGCGGAAUUCCUAGUGUAGCGGUGAAAUGCGUAGAUAUUAGGAGGAACACCAGUGGCGAAGGCGGCCUGCUGGACGAUGACUGACGUUGAGGCUCGAAAGCGUGGGGAGCAAACAGGAUUAGAUACCCCGGUAC